rnacentral:rRNA from 1 species
GACGAACGUUGGCGGCGUGCUUAACACAUGCAAGUCGAACGGAAAGGCCCUGCUUUUGUGGGGUGCUCGAGUGGCGAACGGGUGAGUAACACGUGAGUAACCUGCCCUUGACUUUGGGAUAACUUCAGGAAACUGGGGCUAAUACCGGAUAGGAGCUCCUGCUGCAUGGUGGGGGUUGGAAAGUUUCGGCGGUUGGGGAUGGACUCGCGGCUUAUCAGCUUGUUGGUGGGGUAGUGGCUUACCAAGGCUUUGACGGGUAGCCGGCCUGAGAGGGUGACCGGCCACAUUGGGACUGAGAUACGGCCCAGACUCCUACGGGAGGCAGCAGUGGGGAAUAUUGCACAAUGGGCGGAAGCCUGAUGCAGCAACGCCGCGUGCGGGAUGACGGCCUUCGGGUUGUAAACCGCUUUCGCCUGUGACGAAGCGUGAGUGACGGUAAUGGGUAAAGAAGCACCGGCUAACUACGUGCCAGCAGCCGCGGUGAUACGUAGGGUGCGAGCGUUGUCCGGAUUUAUUGGGCGUAAAGGGCUCGUAGGUGGUUGAUCGCGUCGGAAGUGUAAUCUUGGGGCUUAACCCUGAGCGUGCUUUCGAUACGGGUUGACUUGAGGGAGGUAGGGGAGAAUGGAAUUCCUGGUGGAGCGGUGGAAUGCGCAGAUAUCAGGAGGAACACCAGUGGCGAAGGCGGUUCUCUGGGCCUUUCCUGACGCUGAGGAGCGAAAGCGUGGGGAGCGAACAGGCUUAGAUACCCUGGUAGUCCACGCUGUAAACGGUGGGUACUAGGUGUGGGGUCCAUUCCACGGGUUCCGUGCCGUAGCUAACGCUUUAAGUACCCCGCCUGGGGAGUACGGCCGCAAGGCUAAAACUCAAAGGAAUUGACGGGGCCCCGCACAAGCGGCGGAGCAUGCGGAUUAAUUCGAUGCAACGCGUAGAACCUUACCUGGGUUUGACAUGGAUCGGGAGUGCUCAGAGAUGGGUGUGCCUCUUUUGGGGUCGGUUCACAGGUGGUGCAUGCCUGUCGUCAGCUCGUGUCGUGAGAUGUUGGGUUAAGUCCCGCAACGAGCGCAACCCUUGUUCACUGUUGCCAGCACGUUAUGGUGGGGACUCAGUGGAGACCGCCGGGGUCAACUCGGAGGAAGGUGGGGAUGACGUCAAGUCAUCAUGCCCCUUAUGUCCAGGGCUUCACGCAUGCUACAAUGGCUGGUACAGAGAGUGGCGAGCCUGUGAGGGUGAGCGAAUCUCGGAAAGCCGGUCUCAGUUCGGAUUGGGGUCUGCAACUCGACCUCAUGAAGUCGGAGUCGCUAGUAAUCGCAGAUCAGCAACGCUGCGGUGAAUACGUUCCCGGG